rnacentral:rRNA from 1 species
AGAGUUUGAUCCUGGCUCAGAACGAACGCUGGCGGCACGCCUAACACAUGCAAGUCGAGCGCCCAGCAAUGGGAGCGGCGGACGAGUGAGUAACACGUGGGAACAUGCCUUUCGGUUCGGCACAACUCAGGGAAACUUGAGCUAAUUCCGGAUGCGCCCGUAAGGGGAAAGAUUUAUCGCCGAAAGAUUGGCCCGCGUAAGAUUAGCUAGUUGGUGAGGUAAUGGCUCACCAAGGCAACGAUCUUUAGCUGGUUUGAGAGAACGACCAGCCACGUUGGGACUGAGACACGGCCCAAACUCCUACGGGAGGCAGCAGUGGGGAAUCUUGGACAAUGGGGGAAACCCUGAUCCAGCGAUGCCGCGUGAGUGAUGAAGGCCUUCGGGUUGUAAAACUCUUUUACCCGGGAAGAUAAUGACUGUACCGGGAGAAUAAGCUCCGGCUAACUUCGUGCCAGCAGCCGCGGUAAUACGAAGGGGGCUAGCGUUGUUCGGAAUUACUGGGCGUAAAGCGCGCGCAGGCGGCCAUUCAAGUCAGGGGUGAAAGCCCAGAGCUCAACUCUGGAACUGCCCUUGAAACUGUAUGGCUUGAGUAUGAGAGAGGUGAGUGGAAUUCCCAGUGUAGAGGUGAAAUUCGUAGAUAUUGGGAAGAACACCGGUGGCGAAGGCGGCUCACUGGCUCAUUACUGACGCUCAGGCGCGACAGCGUGGGGAUCAAACAGGAUUAGAUACCCUAGUAGUCC